CCUACGGGAGGCUGCAGUGGGGAAUAUUGCACAAUGGGGGAAACCCUGAUGCAGCGACGCCGCGUGAGUGAAGAAGUAUUUCGGUAUGUAAAGCUCUAUCAGCAGGGAAGAAAAUGACGGUACCUGAUUAAGAAGCCCCGGCUAACUACGUGCCAGCAGCCGCGGUAAUACGUAGGGGGCAAGCGUUAUCCGGAUUUACUGGGUGGAAAGGGAGCGUAGACGGCAGCACAAGUCUGGAGUGAAAUGCCGGGGCUUAACCCCGGAACUGCUUUGGAAACUAUGCAGCUAGAGUGCAGGAGAGGUAAGGGGAAUUCCUAGUGUAGCGGUGAAAUGCGUAGAUAUUAGGAGGAACACCAGUGGCGAAGGCGGUUUACUGGACUGUGACUGACGUUGAGGCUCGAAAGCGUGGGGAGCAAACAGGAUUAGAUACCCGGGUAGUC
rnacentral:rRNA from 1 species